AAAAAGAUGAUUACAAGUAAAGGGGGUGGGGGUAUUUAUAGCUAGAAAUGUAGGGUUUAGGGCUAGGGUGGCUAAAUCUAAUCCAUCCAUGUGUGAUAUGUGUUGGGUAAAUCAUAGCCAUCCAUGUGCCCCCUUGCUUGCCAACUCUCUUUGAUUUUCUUCUCUUCUUUUCUUUUUCUCCCUUUUUCUUGCAUUUUCUUUUCUUUCUUUAUUUAUCUACAAUUU
rnacentral:lncRNA from 1 species